rnacentral:rRNA from 1 species
GAGUUUGAUCUUGGCUCAGAGCGAACGCUGGCGGCAGGCCUAACACAUGCAAGUCGAACGCCCCUUCGGGGGAGUGGCGGACGGGUGAGUAACGCGUGGGAAUGUGCCCUUUGGUACGGAACAACUGAGGGAAACUUCAGCUAAUACCGUAUGUGCCCUACGGGGGAAAGAUUUAUCGCCAUUGGAGCAGCCCGCGUUGGAUUAGGUAGUUGGUGGGGUAAUGGCCCACCAAGCCGACGAUCCAUAGCUGGUCUGAGAGGAUGAUCAGCCACACUGGGACUGAGACACGGCCCAGACUCCUACGGGAGGCAGCAGUGGGGAAUCUUGCGCAAUGGGCGAAAGCCUGACGCAGCCAUGCCGCGUGAAUGAUGAAGGUCUUAGGAUUGUAAAAUUCUUUCACCGGGGAAGAUAAUGACGGUACCCGGAGAAGAAGCCCCGGCUAACUUCGUGCCAGCAGCCGCCGUAAC